AGUCAUAUGCUUGUCUCAAAGAUUAAGCCAUGCAUGUCUCAGUACAAGCCGCAUUAAGGUGAAACCGCGAAAGGCUCAUUAAAUCAGUUAUGGUUCCUUAGAUCGUACCCACACUUACUUGGAUAACUGUGGUAAUUCUAGAGCUAAUACAUGCAAACAGAGCUCCGACCGGAGACGGGAGGAGUGCUUUUAUUAGAUCAAAACCAAUCGGCGGCGGGCGCGCUCGCGCGUCCGUUCGCCGCUCAACCUGGUGACUCUGAAUAACUUUCCGCUGAUCGCACGGUCUCGCACCGGCGACGCAUCUUUCAAAUGUCUGCCUUAUCAACUGUCGAUGGUAGGUUCUGCGCCUACCAUGGUCGUAACGGGUAACGGGGAAUCAGGGUUCGAUUCCGGAGAGGGAGCGUGAGAAAC
rnacentral:rRNA from 1 species